rnacentral:tRNA from 1 species
GCCUGGGUGGCUCAGUCGGUGAAGCAUGAGACUUCAGUUCUGGUCAUGAUCUCACGGUUCGUGGGUUCAAGCCCUGCAUCGGGCU